GCUCCCACCCCCACCCUCUAAGCAGCAGGAAAAGUCAGCCCAGAUCUACGUUGCCGUAAGUUUCUCACCUCUGUAUGCUCCUUGGACGGCCUUCCAAUUGCAGGCUCUUUUGUUCCCCUCACCGUGGGUAAGUCUUAGGUGGAAGCUGGAGCACUGAUGGCUUCUGGGGGUGUCCAGACUUGCGAUCCCAAGACACCCGGCCCCCUGCUCUUAUCCUCUCCUUUCAGGUCAGGUCUCAGAUCCGGAUUCUUUAAGGGCCAACUUUGCAUUCUGGGCAAGUGAAUGACAACUAGGGCACACCCUCUUCUCAACAGCCUGCACCUGAUCCCCUUUUAAAGGGGAAAUCACAUUUCUCGUUAAGACUGAAAGAGGCUGCCGAACCUUGGAGGAAAUUACUAUGUUGUUCUCAGGACAGCUGGAGGAAUUUCUGAAAGAGUAGGUAUAGACAUCAACGUGCCUGACUUCCCUGACUACCGUUACACUGAGAUUUUUGAUGGGACAAAGUCUUCAAAAGAGGGUGACGAGGCUAAGAAAAGGUUCUCCUGUUUGGUAACUGCAACAGCUGCUGUGGGUGUCGCAUCUGCUGCCAAGAAUGUCAUCUCCCAGCUUAUUUCCAGCAUCAAUGCUUCUGCUGAUGAGUUGGCCAUGUCGAAAAUUAAAAUCAAGUUAUCUGAUAUUCCAGAAGACAAGAACAUGGCUUUCAGAUGGAGAGGCAAACCCAUGUGUAUGCCAUAGAACCAAAAAGGAAACUGACCGAGAUGCUGCAGUUGAAGAGUCCCAGUUGAGGGCCCACAGCAUGAUUUAAGGGCCAGGCGCUGUGGCUCAUUCCUGUAAUCCCAGCACUUUGGGAGGCCGAGGUGGGUGGAUCACUUGAGGUCAGGAGUUUGAGACCAGCCUAGCCAACAUGGCGAAACACCAUCUCUAUUAAAAAUACAAAAAUUAGCUGGACAUGGUGGCAUGUGCUCAUAAUCCCACCUACUCAGGAGGCUGAGGCAGGAGAAUCGCUUGAACCCGGGAGGCAGAGGUUGCACUGAGCCAAGGUUGCGCCAUUGCACUCCAGCCUGGGAGACAGAGCAAGACUCUGUCUCAGAAAAUAAAAAAAUAAAUUAAUUGAACAAAGAAGUAAAGGAUGAGUGCAGUGCCUAUCAGGAUAACCCGUUCGGGUUUCUUUACUCGGCCUUUGCAUUCAUCCUCUUAUGCACCCACAGCGAAUGAAGGUUUUGCUGGAGAUUAUUGCCCUUGCUGUGGAUCACACAGAUGCAUCUGGCGGGAUCUGGAAAGGGCCUGCACCUCUUGACCUUGAACCUCCCUCAUAUGAGUUCACCAGUGAUGAAACAGUCACUGUGGGUUAGAGACUGCAACUCAAGUCAAAGGCUUCUUUCAGUCUUUGUGUCACCAGAAAGGAGUUAUUGAGAGCAAGCCUUCUGAACUUCAGUUGCUUGAUUGGCAAUAUUUAAGAAUUGAUAAUAAUGUGUUUGCAGACAUUACCGUGAAGUAAAUUGAAUUUACUGUUGAAUAUUUUCAAGCGUUCACUUAAUAAAACAACUGUUAAACAUU